rnacentral:rRNA from 1 species
UAAGAUAUUAAAAAUUAGGUAGUAAAGAAAUAUCUGAAACCUAAAGAACUUGGCGGUGUUUUAAAUAAUUGGAGGAACCUGUUUCUUAAUUGAAAAUCCACAACAUAUCUUACCUUAUUUUUGUUUGUAUAUCGUUGUUUCAGAUAAUACUAAAAAGUAUAAUCAAUAGUGAACAUUUUCAAAAAAAUCAAAUCAAGGUGCAGCAUAAUAAGGGCGAUAAUGGGUUACAAUAUAAAUAAUAUAUUACGGAAGUGAGAGGAAGAGUAUUUUUAAGGUGGAUUCAAAAGUAAAAAUAUAGUAAAAAGUUUUUUUGAAUAAUAAUUUAAAACAUGC